CCUACGGGCGGCUGCAGUGGGGAAUAUUGGACAAUGGGGGGAACCCUGAUCCAGCCAUGCCGCGUGUGUGAAGAAGGCCCUCGGGUUGUAAAGCACUUUCAGUGAGGAAGAACGCCUGGUGGUUAAUACCCAUCAGGAAAGACAUUACUCACAGAAGAAGCACCGGCUAACUCCGUGCCAGCAGCCGCGGUAAUACGGAGGGUGCGAGCGUUAAUCGGAAUUACUGGGCGUAAAGCGCGCGUAGGUGGCUUGAUAAGCCGGUUGUGAAAGCCCCGGGCUCAACCUGGGAACGGCAUCCGGAACUGUGAAGCUAGAGUGCAGGAGAGGAAGGUAGAAUUCCCGGUGUAGCGGUGAAAUGCGUAGAGAUCGGGAGGAAUACCAGUGGCGAAGGCGGCCUUCUGGACUGACACUGACACUGAGGUGCGAAAGCGUGGGUAGCAAACAGGAUUAGAUACCCUAGUAGUC
rnacentral:rRNA from 1 species